rnacentral:tRNA from 1 species
GAUCGUGUGGCUCGAAUGGCUUUAGGCAUCGGAUUGCAACCCCGAAUUAUACAGGUUCGAUUCCUGUCACGAUCU